AUCAGCUGCUCGCCCCACCUCCAGGCUAAAGGAAGAACCGAACUCAAGUCACGAGAACUUCACUCAGUGACACAAGCUAUUGAGCUAUUUUGCACAUAAACAAGAUUCGCUGCGAGCAGGGUUCGAACCUGCGCGGGAAGAUCCCAUUGGAUUUCAAGUCCAACACCUUAACCACUCGGCCAUCGCAGCCACAUGAGAUCUUCAAACAUCUCAGACACCCCAUGUCACGUGCACAAGCCACGUGAGUGUCCAACUCUCUACAGAUGCGGGGUUGUGGCCUCUGGACAUGACCCUCAAACAUCUCGGACACCCGAUGUCACAUGUACAAGCCACGUAUGCCCAUUCUUUGCCAAUGCUGUGUGACCUCUGGACGUGACCCCCUCACAUCUCAGACACCCCAUGUCACCUGCACAAGUCACGUGAUGACCUCAUUCUUUGCAGCUGUCUCAUCGAAGCCCUCGAGACGCUGUCACACCCACCAUCGACGCGGGACCGGUUGGGAUCAUAUUCGCAGGUGACCCCGAACAUGAUGUCAUGUGACAAAAACGCCAGGAAAUAUAAUCUCACGCCUUACGUACACCUAAUUACAGAUGUGCUCAUGAGUUGACAGAAUUUGUGAAAUGUUGGAAAGUUUUUAGAAAUAGGACUAAACCAUCUCAUGAUUUUCUUUGUCACUGUUUUGUGCUAUUCUGUCAUGCUUUACAGUUUCAUUUGUAAAGCCGUUCCAAAUCAAACAAAUGUUUGCCUACUCAUCUUACUCAUUGGACCAGAUAAUGUAAACGAAUGAGUACAACUGCAGGAGGCUGUUAAGGAGGAUGUCAAAAGGAUACCGUAUUUGCCCACUCUAUGGCUCUGCAAGCACAAGCAAGCUGGCAUGUUGGCACUGUU